ensembl:lncRNA
AUGGAGCGAUGCUCCAUCUCUCCCCACACUGGAUUCAUUCCCCUUUGGAGCUUCCUGCUGGUCACUGUAAUUUUUUGCACUGCCACCGGUGACACAGAUGACAGGAAGUGGGAGGAGUUGGGUGAAAUGCAAAUGCCAGUCACGGCGCAGGCCAGCACCACUCAGAUCUGGGCGGUGGACUGGGAUCCCACGCAGCCCCUGGAGGACGAAACCCAUCACUUCCUGUCCAACCUGGAGACGGAGAGUUUGAGGGUGACUACGCCUGAGGACUGGUCGCAUCGUCGGAACAUGCCUGCCAAUCAAACCCAACACCCAACUAGUGGAGAGAGGGAUAAAAUAGAGACAGAAGAGCAGGACACCAACGAAGUGGACCCACAGUUUUACGUGACGGUGACAAUUUCAUCUCUGCUGAUUCUCUCUGCGGUCAUCAUCUCUGUUAAACUCUGUUACGACCGCAGUCUGUCCCAGCGCCCUCCGCCUCUCUCCCUCGCCAUCCCUCGGUCCGUAGCUCAGGAGGACAGCAGGCAGACUCUGCACAGCACUCCAUCCUUCCCCGACAGAGAGAGGAUACCAGUGGUCAAUCUUUGA